AGCGAGACUCCAUCUCAAACAAAAUUUUUUUAAAAAGUUUUAACCAGGAACUAAUGUGAUUGAUUUCUUACAUGAGGAGAAUGGAAGAAGGGAAGGAAUGGGAAUUAUGUAGCAGGAUUGAGGCAGAAAUGGCAAAGUUUCCAGCAUGGGUGACAACUGCAAACUCUGUUUCAAAAAAAAAAAAACAGAAACCACAGAAGGCAACCUGAAAGAACUCCUAAUGGCCAAGGCAACAAAGUAAAUCAUAAUAGCAUUGGAUCAUGAACCACAGAUGACCCAUAUAUAUUAAUUUUA
rnacentral:lncRNA from 1 species